rnacentral:rRNA from 1 species
UACGUAGGUGACCAGCGUUGUCCGGAUUUACUGGGCGUAAAGAGCGCGCAGGCGGUCGUUCAAGUCGAGUGUGAAAGCCCCCGGCUCAACUGGGGAGGGUCAUUCGAUACUGAUCGACUCGAAGGCAGGAGAGGGAAGCGGAAUUCCCGGUGUAGUGGUGAAAUGCGUAGAUAUCGGGAGGAACACCAGUGGCGAAGGCGGCUUCCUGGCCCGGUACUGACGCUGAGGUGCGAAAGCGUGGGGAGCAAACAGG